rnacentral:rRNA from 1 species
GACGAACGCUGGCGGCGUGCUUAACACAUGCAAGUCGAACGGAAAGGCUCCAGCUUGCUGGAGUACUCGAGUGGCGAACGGGUGAGUAACACGUGGGUGAUCUUCCCUGCACUUCGGGAUAAGCCUGGGAAACUGGGUCUAAUACCGGAUAGGACCGCACUUUGGUGUGUGUGCUUGAAAGGUUUUUCUUGUGUGGGAUUAGCUGGCGGGCUAUCAGUUUGUUGGUGGGGUAAUGUCCUACCAAGACGGCGCCGGGUAGCCGGACUGAGAGGGUGGACGGUCGAAUAGGGACUGAGAGACGGACGAGACGGCUAAGGGAGGAAGCAGUGGGGAAUAUUGAACAAUGGGGGAAACGCUGAUGCAGAGAGGCCGCGUGGGGGAUGAAGGCCUUCGGGUUGAAAAAAACGUUCGCUAGGGAAGAAGCUUUUUGUGACGGUACCUGGAGAAGAAGCACCGGCUAACUACGUG